UGGGGAAUAUUGGACAAUGGGCGCAAGCCUGAUCCAGCCAUGCCGCGUGAGUGAUGAAGGCCUUAGGGUUGUAAAGCUCUUUUGUCCGGGAGGAUAAUGACCGUACCGGAAGAAUAAGCUCCGGCUAACUUCGUGCCAGCAGCCGCGGUAAUACGAAGGGAGCUAGCGUUGUUCGGAAUUACUGGGCGUAAAGCGCAUGCAGGCGGAUCGUUAAGUCGGGGGUGAAAUCCCAGGGCUCAACCCUGGAACUGCCUUCGAUACUGGCGAUCUUGAGUCCGGGAGAGGUGAGUGGAACUCCGAGUGUAGAGGUGAAAUUCGUAGAUAUUCGGAAGAACACCAGUGGCGAAGGCGGCUCACUGGCCCGGUACUGACGCUGAGAUGCGAAAGCGUGGGGAGCAAACA
rnacentral:rRNA from 1 species